rnacentral:rRNA from 14 species
GCAGUGAAGAUGCUGUGUACCCGCACCUAGACGGAAAGACCCCGUGAACCUUUACUACAGCUUGGCACUGAACAUUGAACCUACAUGUGUAGGAUAGGUGGGAGGCUUUGAAGCACAGUCGCUAGAUUGUGUGGAGCCGUCCUUGAAAUACCACCCUUGUAUGUUUGAUGUUCUAACAUUGUUCCCUUAUCGGGAAUGUGGACAGUGUCUGGUGGGUAGUUUGACUGGGGCGGUCUCCUCCCAAAUAGUAACGGAGGAGCACGAAGGUUAGCUAAUCACGGUCGGACAUCGUGAGGUUAGUGCAAUGGCAUAAGCUAGCUUAACUGCGAGACAGACACGUCGAGCAGGUACGAAAGUAGGUCAUAGUGAUCCGGUGGUUCUGUAUGGAAGGGCCAUCGCUCAACGGAUAAAAGGUACUCCGGGGAUAACAGGCUGAUACCGCCC